UACGUAGGGUGCAAGCGUUAAUCGGAAUUACUGGGCGUAAAGCGUGCGCAGGCGGUUCGGAAAGAAAGAUGUGAAAUCCCAGGGCUUAACCUUGGAACUGCAUUUUUAACUGCCGAGCUAGAGUAUGUCAGAGGGGGGUAGAAUUCCACGUGUAGCAGUGAAAUGCGUAGAGAUGUGGAGGAAUACCGAUGGCGAAGGCAGCCCCCUGGGCUAACACUGACGCUCAGGCACGAAAGCGUGGGGAGCAAACAGG
rnacentral:rRNA from 1 species